AUCGCUUCUCGGCCUUUUGGCUAAGAUCAAGUGUAGUAUCUGUUCUUAUCAGUUUAAAUUAAUACAAAAUGUAUUUAUUUAAAACAGACAUAUGCAAUAUACAUAAAUAAAC
rnacentral:snRNA from 1 species